GUGGGGAAUAUUGGGCAAUGGGCGCAAGCCUGACCCAGCAACGCCGCGUGAAGGAAGAAGGCUUUCGGGUUGUAAACUUCUUUUGUCAGGGACGAAGCAAGUGACGGUACCUGACGAAUAAGCCACGGCUAACUACGUGCCAGCAGCCGCGGUAAUACGUAGGUGGCAAGCGUUAUCCGGAUUUACUGGGUGUAAAGGGCGUGUAGGCGGGAAAGCAAGUCAGAUGUGAAAACUGUGGGCUCAACCCAUAGCUUGCAUUUGAAACUGUUUUUCUUGAGUACUGGAGAGGCAGAUGGAAUUCCUAGUGUAGCGGUGAAAUGCGUAGAUAUUAGGAGGAACACCAGUGGCGAAGGCGAUCUGCUGGACAGCAACUGACGCUGAGGCGCGAAAGCGUGGGGAGCAAACAGGAUUAGAAACCCGUGUAGUCC
rnacentral:rRNA from 1 species